UUGCAUUGCAUGUGGAUGUAACCAGAUAGGCUCUUAUUAUCGCUUUUCUGUUGAUCUUUCAGGUCGUUCUGUGAGAAGCGAUGGAGACUCACGGGAACAGAGAAGAACCACGAACUUGGAGCCCAGACACCGUUCUGGGAAGCAACGAAGGGGAUCGCCGAUUGAUCAGACUCUGUCGGAGGUGCAGUACGCCCGUUUGGAAGAAGCAAGUUUAGCAAGACGGACAUACAGGCCUACUGUGUUGCACUGAAUAAGUCAAAUGUUUGGGCCAGUUUGUCGGGCGUUGCAAAAUGGAGACAUAGCCUAUUUUAUUUCUAGUUCCAAAUGAAUUCUGCGAUCUGAUCUUGUGAUUUUUUGAAA